CUGACCGUGCAAAGGUAGCGUAAUCACUUGUCUUUUAAAUGAAGACCUGUAUGAAUGGCAUCACGAGGGCUUAGCUGUCUCCCAUCUCCAGUCAAUGAAAUUGACCUCCCCGUGCAGAGGCGGGGAUGAUUACAUAAGACGAGAAGACCCUAUGGAGCUUUAGACCUAAAGUAAGUCACGUUUAACAUGCUGUGAUAACAGUAAAAACUUAGUGAUAUUUACUGAAGUGUCUUUGGUUGGGGCGACCGCGGGGUAAAACACAACCCCCAUGUGGACCGGGGAUAUUAUCCCUAAUACUCAGAGCCUCUACUCCAAGUAACAGAAAUUCUGACUUUUCUGAUCCGGUAUAACCGAUCAACGAACCGAGUUACCCUAGGGAUAACAGCGCAAUCCCCUCUCAGAGCCCAUAUCGACGAGGGGGUUUACGACCUCGAUGUUGGAUCAGGACAUCCUAAUGGUGCAGCCGCUAUUAAGGGUUCGUUGUCAACGAUAAAGCCCUACGUGAUCUGAGUUCAGACCGGAG
rnacentral:rRNA from 1 species